rnacentral:rRNA from 1 species
GACGAACGCUGGCGGCGUGCUUAACACAUGCAAGUCGAACGGAAAGGCCCUGCUUUUGUGGGGUGCUCGAGUGGCGAACGGGUGAGUAACACGUGAGUAACCUGCCCUUGACUUUGGGAUAACUUCAGGAAACUGGGGCUAAUACCGGAUAGGAGCUCCUGCUGCAUGGUGGGGGUUGGAAAGUUUCGGCGGUUGGGGAUGGACUCGCGGCUUAUCAGCUUGUUGGUGGGGUAGUGGCUUACCAAGGCUUUGACGGGUAGCCGGCCUGAGAGGGUGACCGGCCACGUUGGGACUGAGAUACGGCCCAGACUCCUACGGGAGGCAGCAGUGGGGAAUAUUGCACAAUGGGCGGAGGCCUGAUGCAGCAACGCCGCGUGCGGGAUGACGGCCUUCGGGUUGUAAACCGCUUUCGCCUGUGACGAAGCGUGAGUGACGGUAAUGGGUAAAGAAGCACCGGCUAACUACGUG